rnacentral:lncRNA from 13 species
GGAGAAACUGAAGCAGGAAGCUGAGUCUGAUAUCCUUUUCUUCUUUCUUUUUGGGUACACUCCUAUCAGAGGCUUUGCAAACAGCUACUUUAACAUCAAACUACAUGCAAUUUGUUUUCACUGCUGGACUUCCAUAAUUGUGAAGCUGUGAUUAUCAGAAUUUCUGAUUCAAAGAUUCUUGGCCCUGUUGACUGGAGGGUGGCCAUUUGAUAACACAGAUUCUUUCCUGAGGAGACUUUGGCUUCUGGUGACUUGGGUCCCGGGCAGGCUGGCUGAAUUGGCUACAACCCAGAUUUGCCCUUAUAAGUGUGGAAAAUGGCCUCCAAUAUGACCCCAAGGCAAGAUGAAAGAAAACUGUGCUCUUGAAUGGCUUAGAGAUUCAGAGUCCCCCAACCAGUUUGAAAUGCCCACCUCAAAACAAUGACAUGAGAAGAAACAAAUCUCUAAGUCGCUGUUUUUUCAAGAGCAUUGUAGUUUGAGAUCUCUCUUUCAGCCGUUUAGUCUCCAAAUAAAGACUUACUGACCUUAUUUUACA